rnacentral:piRNA from 1 species
UGAGGUAGGACACACUGGGGCCAUGAC